UACUAUUUGGCGUAGAAAUGGGAUUUUUUUUUUAAUCUUUUAAGCAAGUAAAGUGAAAUGAAUCAACACUCUCCCCCUCCCCUCCACAAGCCAGGAUUGCUCCCCUCCUGAUUACAGGAAGAGACCUGAAGCAGAAAAAGAAUGCAGUGUCAAUUUUAUCCCUGGAGUUGCAUCCAGCAAUCUACCUUCCAGGUUCACUGCUCCUUGAAGAGAUUUUGCUAAGGGAUUAAAAAGUUUUAGCCUACAGAAAUUUUUCAUAGUGCACAGCAAAAUGCUUGUUUGUGGGUACAAAGAAAAUGCAAGAGGCCCACCCUCUGAGGUGUGUUGGUGAUGUCCUGGCUCAUGAAGCUGAAGUCACAAUCCAACCGCAAUUUGAGUCCCCAACAUGGCCAGUUUGAAAACACACCAGGAAGGUAUGUGUGUGCCCAAUAUCCCAGUGGGCUAGAGGACUAGAAAAGGGGUAGGA